rnacentral:ncRNA from 1 species
GUGCAACAUGCACCAUACUACAACGAAAAAAGUGUUUAAAAUAUUGAAUUUGGAUGGAUUUAGGGAUCCAAAUGACAAAAGAAUAAGUAAGAGUGUCCAGAAUACAAUCCUAUACAAAUAUAAUGGUCCACCAUCCAUUCAUUAGUAGCUGGUCCGAGAGGAUGAUUAGCCACUCUGGGAUUGAGACACGGCCCAGACUCCUGCGGGAGGCAGCAGUGGGGAAUUUUUCGCAAUGAGCGAAAGCUUGAUGGAGCAAUGCUGAGUGGAGGUAGAAGGCCCACGAGUCGUGAACUUCUUUUCUUGGAGAAGAAGCAAUGACGGUGUCUGGGGAAUAAGUAUCGGCUAACUCUGUGCCAGCAGUCGCAGUAAUCCUAUUUGAGUAAUCAAC